rnacentral:rRNA from 1 species
UACGAAGGGGGCUAGCGUUGCUCGGAAUCACUGGGCGUAAAGCGCACGUAGGCGGCUUUCUAAGUCAGGGGUGAAAUCCUGGAGCUCAACUCCAGAACUGCCUUUGAUACUGGAGAGCUUGAGUCCGGAAGAGGUGAGUGGAACUCCGAGUGUAGAGGUGAAAUUCGUAGAUAUUCGGAAGAACACCAGUGGCGAAAGCGGCUCACUGGUCCGGUACUGACGCUGAUGUGCGAAAGCGUGGGGAGCAAACAGG